rnacentral:rRNA from 1 species
AUUGAACGCUGGCGGCAGGCCUAACACAUGCAAGUCGAGCGGAUGAAGGGAGCUUGCUCCUGGAUUCAGCGGCGGACGGGUGAGUAAUGCCUAGGAAUCUGCCUGGUAGUGGGGGAUAACGUCCAGAAACGGGCGCUAAUACCGCAUACGUCCUGAGGGAGAAAGUGGGGGAUCUUCGGACCUCACGCUAUCAGAUGAGCCUAGGUCGGAUUAGCUAGUUGGUGGGGUAAAGGCCUACCAAGGCGACGAUCCGUAACUGGUCUGAGAGGAUGAUCAGUCACACUGGAACUGAGACACGGUCCAGACUCCUACGGGAGGCAGCAGUGGGGAAUAUUGGACAGUGGACGAAAGCCUGAUCCAGCCAUGCCGCGUGUGUGAAGAAGGUCUUCGGAUUGUAAAGCACUUUAAGUUGGGAGGAAGGGCAGUAAGUUAAUACCUUGCUGUUUUGACGUUACCAACAGAAUAAGCACCGGCUAACUUCGU